AGAGACUGCGAGCGUUAUUCGGAUUCACUGGGCGUAAAGGGUGCGCAGGCGGCCAAGUGUGUGAGGCGUGAAAGCCCGGGGCUUAACCUCGGAAUUGCACCUCAAACUACAUGGCUAGAGCAUUGGAGAGGGUAGCAGAAUUCACGGUGUAGCAGUGAAAUGCGUAGAUAUCGUGAGGAAUACCAGAGGCGAAGGCGGCUACCUGGACAAUUGCUGACGCUCAGGCACGAAAGCGUGGGGAGCAAAAGGGAUUAGAUACCCCUGUAGUCCACGCCCUAAACGGUGCACACUAGGUCUUGGCGGAUUCGACCCCCCCAGGGCCCAAGCUAACGCGUUAAGUGUGCCGCCUGAGGACUACGGCCGCAAGGCUAAA
rnacentral:rRNA from 1 species